rnacentral:RNase_P_RNA from 1 species
CUAGAUGGUCAGACGAUCGCUGUUAUUGCAAAAUAAUAGAGGAAAGUCCGGGCUCCACGGGAGAACAGUGCCAGCUAACAGCUGGCAGGGGAAACCCUAGGGAUAGUACCACAGAAAAUAAACCGCCUUUCUGGCGCGUAAUUGCAACAGCAACAGGCACUAAAGGUAAGGGUGAAACGGGGCGGUAAAAGCGCACCGCUCUUUUGGUAACAAAAGAGGCACGGAAAACCCCACUGGGAGCAAGACCGAAUAGGAACGAUAGAGGGUAUCAUCUCCCUCAAGGAUUCUCCCGUCCUACUGUUCGGGUUGGUCGCGCGAGACAUAUUGCAAAAUAUGUCCUAGAGGAAUGAUCGUCCUGACUUUUAAGGUCAGACAGAACCCGGCUUAUAGACCAUCUAGCCAU